rnacentral:piRNA from 1 species
UNUCAAUCCUUAUUCCUAGAGUUGCUGC